AUAUAAAUGAAAAGUUAGCACAAUUUCUGGUUUUAUAUGGCUGAUUUUAUGUUUGAUGUGUUCACAGUGGCUAACAAAUUAAUAUAUCUAUUAGAUUUCAUUCUAUAUUGUUAUCCCAUGUAAAUUGUAUUUAUAUUUACUAAGUUCGGUCUGCUCCCGUAGAUGGAUUUGUUUGACCAGAUAGUGAACAUUAAGGUUAUCAUGGAAACUAAUUGAGAUGAUUCUCUUGAUCAUGCAUUUCUACAACUUGGAAGGUUGGACAAGAAAAUUGAGUUUCCUUUUUCUGAUAGACGAUUAAAGCGACUUGUUUUUCAGGUCUGUAUUGCGAUGAUGAACUUGAGGGUUGAGCUUGACUUGGAGGAUUAUGUUUCACGGCCAGAAUAAAUUAGUGUUUCCAAGACAUCAAUUCUUCUAUGUUUUGUUAAGUGGAUCUUUCACCAACCUUGUUAUUAGGAGCAGUGCUGGUGUUUGCAUUCACAUCAUUCUUUAUAUAUGAGCAAUAUGAAGAUGAACUUGAUCGACUUUUUAGCGUGGUUGCUAUUGUUGUAAAGAGUUUAUGGACAUUGUUGCUAAGAAUUCGUCCACCAUCCAUUACCUCAUUCUUUUCUGCUAUUGAUGAUUUGGGGUGAAGUACAAACGCGACUUGCUGUAAAGGAAUGUGGAUUCCUUUGAACCCAUGUGUUCGCUUACUAUUUCAUCUGCCGAUAUUUGAUCAUCAGAAGAGGCAAAGCUACGAUAAUCAUGAUAGCCAACCAGGUUUUCUCCAAACUUGACUCUGAGCAGUUGAUAGCGCGUGUUUGAAGGAUCUCAUUUGGCAGCCAUUACAAAUACUUUCACUCCAUUUUCAGUGUGGUUAUACAUAAAUAAGUCUAAUUUGGGUGAUGUAUCCUUGUUGAUCGACAAAAUUGUGUGUAUAUUAAUUAGAUGGUGUAUAUCAGUGGUUUGUACCAUCUGUUAGGAGCAAAGUCUUACUUUUUUAUUUUUUCAAAUGAUUGUAAUAUUAUCGACUUUUAGAUUUACAAUUAUAUACUAUUUAAUAUAAUUAUAUAUAUAAUUGGAUA